GCGUGGCUGGGAGUGGACGGUGGAAGGUGAGUCUCCGCCCGAAGAGGCCGCCGAGGAGGCCGCGUGGUCCCAGGAGGAAACUUUCAAAGGUGUUUCUGCAACAUAGCUCCAGUUGGAGGUGCUGCUUAAACUCUUCAAGGUCAAGAUGAAUCAAACUCAGAGGAGGCUUUACCCCUGGACCAUGCAAGCUUCUGAGGUCUGGGAGGAACUGCUGACAGUGAAAGUGGAGAUGGAAAGUCGCCUCCCAAUGCAGGAAUCCCGACUGAGAUGGAGUAAUCCCCUGGCGAGGGAAAUUUAUUUGAAAGCACUUUCGACAGGAGAUCCCUGGGCCCUGCGAGGCCCUCACCUGGUUGUGGGAGCUGUGUCAACGCUGGCUGCGCCCUGAGACCCACAGCAAGGAGCAGAUCCUAGAGCUGCUGGUGCAGGAACUGUUUCUGAUCAUCCUCCCGAGAAGCUCCAGGCCUGGGUGCAGGAGCAGCACCUCGAGAGCGGGGACGAAGUGGUGACUACCAUGCUGGUGGACCUGGAGAGGGAGCUAGAUGAAUCACAGAAUGAGGUGGUAGCUACACACAGGGGCAAGAAGUCCUCUCCAGAGGGACAGUGCCUCUGGGACAGCAGACAUCACUGAGGCUUCAGUCCCAGCCCAGAGGACCCCAGCCCACAUGGGAUGCUGCUCAGGAGUCCCACCCUUGGAGAGACAGCAUGAGGCGGGGUCCGUGGACUCUUCCCGAAUGGCAAAGAGGUUCACCAUACAAAAAGAGCCCGAGACCUUCUCAAUCUGACAGAAACGGCCCUCGCUCCGAUCUUGAGACUUCAGGAAGAAACAGAGCACGGCUCUCAGA